CUCCCUCGUCCCCUCUCUCGCCGCCGCACCCAAACCCUAACUCCACUCCUCUCCCCCGAUCGAGAUGCACUCCUCACAGCCGCCCGCCGUGAGCGAUUCAGCCGAUGCCGCCGCCAGCGCCCGCGCGCCACCACCCGCUCCUCCUCUCCUACCAGAUCGAGCCGCCACCUCCCUCCCCAUCCCCGCGCGCUACCAUCCGCUCCUCCUCUUCUGCCCGCGCACGCACAGCCUUGGCUCCUGCUGCUCUUCCCGAUUGAGGAGGGGGAGGAGAGCGAGAGGGGUAGCAUGGUGGCCAGCGAGGGGAGCACCAUCACGGGAGCCGCGUCCUCCCGGUCCACGGCCACGUCUUCUGCGACCGCGAUGGGCAGGGUCAACAACCUCGACCUCAAGGGCGUCGGCCUCGUCGGCGCCCUGCCCCCCACCUUCUCCUCCCUCGACGUGCUGCAGGACCUCAGCCUCUAGACCAACGCGCUCUCCGGCCCGCUCCCCUCCUUCCGCGGCAUGGCGGCCCUCCGCCACGCCUACCUCAACGACAACGCCUUCUCCUCCCUCCCCAAGGACUUCUUCGACGGCCUCGACAGCCUCGAGGAGAUCUGCCUCGACAACAACCCGCUCCUGCCAAUCCAUCUCUGUUGUUCUUCUUCUACCUCUGCCUCGACCCCUCCUCCCCUUGUAUUCUUCUUCUACCUCUGUUGUUCUUCCUUUCCACAUCACAUCUCAAGUGGUCGUGUGUAGGCACUGUACAUCCAUAUCAUCUCCUUGCAUGGUGAAGGUGACCAGGCCAUGGAGAGAAAAGCUCCUGCCAAUCGCGGACGGUGCAGAUCGACAUCGUGAAGGACGGAAACAUAUCAGGUCACCUAUGUAUGCGAGAGGUUUGUAUGCUUCAGUUGCUGUAAACCGAAGAUUCUGCAAAAAUAUGACAUGUCGUCUUAAUGUUUAUGACAUGUGUUUUGAUACUGUAUACGUCGUCUUAAUGUGUUUGCUGCCGAUAUUCAGAGAAGAAUAGUGAUGACAGUAUAUCUAGAGUGUUUGUGAUAGUUAAACAUGUUUGUUCUUUUUUUGACAAGGUGAGUAUCCAGCAAGUACAUGCUCACCAGACAACCCUAGGUUUGAAUUCCUUGAGUAAAAGAGAACUACUGAAUUGCUUGAGGUUUGAAUUGCUCUUGUACAUUGCCUGAGUUAUCACAAAACUUGCUCCUGUUAAUUAUUCAGAGUAGCUGAUCUGGUGCAAGCUGAUGCAAGCUAAUUUUGGAGUAGAACACUUCAAGUAAAGAAUGUGAACUUAAUGGAGUAGCUGAUGCAAGCUGAUUAGUAGUAGAACACUUUAAAGUAUCAAGUUUCUGGAGUUCCUGUAGUAGUCGUACUGUCAAUUUCUUGUCAACUUGCUACUCCUGUCAAUUUCAUGUAGUUCCUGGAGUAGAGUAGUGUGCCACUCUUGUUUGCUUGCAGGAGUAAUUAAAUGAAACAUUUUCAGUUAAUUAAAAUUUGGUGUAAACUGCUUGCUUGCAUCAGUAGCGCACUACUCUUCUUGUUUGCACCACACACGCACGCACACACUUGUUUGGAGUAGGUUGGAAUUAACUGAAACUCUUUUCAAACUAAAUGAAUCUUUUCAAAUGAUCAUUUGAUCAAAGAUCAAAUUAUCAAAUGAAAAUAUUCAGUUAACUUUGACUGAAAAUAUCUAGGUACUGAAUAUUUCCAUUUAAUCAUUCAUUUUUGUGCUUGCAUGCUGGAUUUAUUCUUGUAUGCUGGAAUUUUGGUGUAGCAGUAAAGUUUGCAAGCAUGGAGUAGUAUGCUUGUAUGCUGGAAUACACAGUAACAGAAGUAGCAUCAAGUGUACACAUAGUACACACUUGUGCACAAGUGUACUCUAGAGAUGUAGCAUCAAGUGUACUCCAGGAGUAUUAUCCUGUUAAAAAAUCGUGUUUAAAUUUACAUGGUGCACAUUUAAAUUCUUUUUUAAAAAUACUCAUGUGUACUCCAACAAGAUCUACUCCAGGAGUAUACACUACAGGAUCACCAUCUUGAUCUACUCCAACAAGAUCAAGAUCAAGAGUUUAUCAAUGCAACAGCUUCUUGGAGUACUCAUUGCCUGCUUCUUGACCGGGAUUGAUACCAUUGUUGUAGUAGUUGACUUUGUGGUUCUUGGUUCAGGCUCCUAGAACACGUGUGGUGUACCUCAGAGCUGCCUUUGGAACAACCAUGUCUCAUGUGUCUGACAUUGUUGGACCGACUGGGUUGGUGUAUGCCGUUGAGUUCUCUCACCGGAGUGGUAGGGAUCUUGUCAACAUGGCCAAGAAGAGGACCAAUGUCAUCCCCAUCACUGAGGAUGCAAGGCACCCGACAAAGUAACGGAUGCUGGUCGACAUGGCUCAAGUUGUACCAGAUCAAGGAGCUCUGGGCUGAAGAAUUUUGAAGAAGCUUGAAGCCCGACAAAGUAAAGAGUAGAAAGUAAUAAUGUAGUGGUAGUUAUGUUGUACAGUAGCCAGCAUAUCUGGUUGUAUGAACACUAUUGUAAAUACUGUAAUUUCGUAUUUGUACAAUAGUCAGCAUAUUUGGUGCUAAUAUUGGCUAUCAUUUUACAGUUUCA